CAACAGCGUAUAUUAAAGUUGUUGCAGUUAAAACGCUCGUAGUCGGAUUUCGGGGUGGGCGGGCCGGUCUGCCGAUGGGUAUGCACUGGUCUGGCCGUCCUUCCUUCCGGAGACCGUGCGUGCUCUUAACUGAGUGCGCUCGGGAGACGGAUCGUUUACUUUGAAAAAAUCAGAGUGUUUCAAGCAGGCAGCUCGCUCUUGCAUGGAUUAGCAUGGGAUAAUGAAAUAGGACUUUGGUGCUAUUUUGUUGGUUUCGAACACCGAAGUAAUGAUUAACAGGGACAGUCAGGCGCACUCGUAUUCCGCCGAGAGAGGUGAAAUUCUCAGACCAGCGGAAGACGAACCACUGCGAAAGCAUUUGCCAGGGAUGUUUUCACUGA
rnacentral:rRNA from 1 species